rnacentral:rRNA from 1 species
ACUCAAAGGAAUUGACGGGGGCCCGCACAAGCGGUGGAGUAUGUGGCUUAAUUCGAUGCAACGCGAAGAACCUUACCUGGGCUUGACAUGCAUUGUGUCGCCGGUGAAAGCCGGCUAGUGUAGCAAUACACGCUUUGCACAGGUGCUGCAUGGCUGUCGUCAGCUCGUGUCGUGAGAUGUUGGGUUAAGUCCCGCAACGAGCGCAACCCUUGUGAACUGUUGCUACCCCUCUCCAGUUUGGCUUCGCGCCAGACCAGAGAUUGGCUCAUCGGAGCCAAACUGGGGAGGGGGCACUCUGUUCAGACUGCCCUGUGAAACGGGGAGGAAGGUGGGGACGACGUCAAGUCAGGAUGGCCCUUACGCCCAGGGCUGCACACGUACUACAAUGCUCAGUACAGAACGAACCGAAAUCGCGAGGUGGAGGAAAUCACUAAAACUGAGCCCAGUUCGGAUUGUAGGCUGCAACUCGCCUACAUGAAGCCGGAAUCGCUAGUAAUGGCGUAUCAGCUACGACGCCGUGAAUACGUUCCCGGGCCUUGUACACACCGCCCGU